UUUCUGAUUGUCAAGAUGCUCAGAA
rnacentral:piRNA from 1 species